rnacentral:lncRNA from 1 species
AAUUAUGUAUCUUUAUCAAAUCUUCCGAAUUUCAUUGAGGAAACUACUUAGUAAUUUCAAAAAAAGAGAGUUUUGAACCGUACCCUAGACACGGGGCCUAUAUCGUGCUGAUAUUUUGUUGGCACAAUACGACACAGUAGAUAGAACCCAUACGAUGGGCACUUAAAUCCUCGCUAUUAGCAUAUUGUCAUGUAUAAUUGUCAAUCUGCAAUUUCAAUUAUUUAAUUUAGUUUUGAUGAUAAAGCUAGAUCAUGUUUAUGAAAUUUACCAAUGAAAGGUGUACUUGACUAUUAGCACCAAUACAUUCUUGUUAGCUAAAUGACCCUUUUUUCAUGGUUAAAUAAUGCAUCUUUUGACAAACUUUUUGAUUAUUAACUUGUUUUAGUUGAGUUUGGACAGUGUUUAUGUUUACUUGCCAGCAAUUUACGCACUACCCACUUAAUGGCCACAUGCCAACACGAUAGGAAACUUUUACUGCAUAUGGUCUUCCAAAUUUUGGAAAUCUGUGCUUGUAAAUUAAAUUAGAAUUUUGCAUCUAAUCAUAUCGUUUGUGUGGUAAAAUCACUUAGCCAGGGCAAAAAUAAUAAGUUUAAUUUCAUAUGGGGCCUUGUGAAGAUAACAAACAGAAUUAUAGAGUUGAGCUAGAAUACUCUCAAAAGCACCAUGAAGAUGGUGCUUUUGAGUUUUUAGCCAUUGGAUGGAGAGAUGUGAGGUUGAGAUGAUGGUGGUAGGUGGUGGUAGGUAGAAUAGUUUUUGAUCCAAAGGCUAUUAGUAAUCAAGGAGUAGAUCCAAGGGCUAGAAACUUAAAAGCACCAAGGGGUUGGUCCAUUGGUGCUUCUAAAAGUAUUCUAGCUCAAUUCGGAAUUAUAUAUCUAUAAAGUUAAAGUAAUCAGAUUUAUCCCUCCAAAAAUUCUUAUAGGUUAUAUUUUCCCAUUUAGUUUGUUAUUGUUAUUCUGAUGUUUCUUUUGAACAGUUGGUUAAGUAAAAUGACAAGUUUUCCAUUGCAAAUAUGUCCCUUCAAAAAGCCCUAACAGUUAUAGGUGUGCAAAUAUGCUCUCCCAACAAGCCCCAACCGUCAUCUUAUUCUUCUAUUGAAACCCACCCAACCUCUAUUGUUCUAACCUCUUCUCUUAGUCCUUCUCUCUUUCAACCAUAUCUCACACCUCCCACACUUGUAUCCUCUUCUCUCUCCCCUCUCCUAUAUCGCUGGCACCAACUUUCACUCUUUUCUUCUCUCUUUACGAUGAAAGGGAUAGAUUUAAUCACUCUAUGAUGAAAAGAGGCGAAUAUGAAUAUAUUACAACUUUUGGAGGGACAAAUUUGAUCUCUUAAACUUCGCAAAGAUAGAUUUGUAAUUUGAUGCCUUUAUAAAGACACGUAUGAAAUUAACCCUUAACUAUGAGGGGUACAAAGGUCAAUUACUUCCUGACAAUUGUGGUUAAGCUUUUUAGCUUUUACCCAUGUUUAGCCAAAAUUUUCUACACAGACUAGUAGUAGGAACAAGGUUUUAAGUGCCCGUCGGCACGGGCCGUAUCUACCGUACCGUACCGUGCCAACAAGAUACCGGCACGAUUCAGACCUCGUGUCGAUGGCACAGCUCAAAACCCUCUAUUCUUUAAAUUAGUAAGUAAUUUCCUCAAUAAAUUUUAAAAGAUGUGAUAAAAAGACAUAAUAAAUAGAUAGAAUAUUUUGUUGCUAAAGAAAAUAAAUAUUUCAUGCUAUUAUGUGUCGGCACAUAAGAAUUUUUUUGACCGGCACGCACCGUGCCAUAACAUGCUGGCAAGUUUCCGACACUAGCCUGUGCCACGGCACUUAAAUCAUUGAGUAGGAAUAUAUAUGAAAUCGUUAAACUUUUGGAAAGACAAGUUUACUCACUUAAACUUUAUAGGGAUAUAUUUAUUAUUCGAUAUUUUUAUAGGGACCUGAAUGAAAUUAAACCAAAGUAAUAAUAUUAUUUUUGCAUCUGUUGUUUUUGUUGAAUUGUGGAAAACAUGAUUACAGAGGGGUUUAGGGCUUCAAUCCACCGUAAGUACUAAUUAUUAUUUAUAUGGAGAGACUUUACACGAGUUUAAAAAAUAUUAAAAAAUUAGAAAAUAGACAAAAAAAAAAAAAGUCUUCAGUCAUCAAAUAAUAAUGCCAAAACGUAAUGUGCUUUACAUGUUUAUGAAAUGUGAGUAUCCUAUUAAAAGUUCAAUUUGGAAGUGUUUUGAUUGCUAUUAAAUGUGCUCGACCUCAUUGGUGAUUGCUUGUCAAGAUGCCCAUCUAGCUAGUUAUAGGUCUUAAAUAAUAAUCUAAGACCUAGCAGCAAUACGAAGUGUUUUUCUCUUCUAUUGGCUCUUAUGUAUAAUUACCAUUCAACAAAUAGUCUUAUCGUCUGUUGGUUUGGUUUCUCGAUUCAUUUUAAAUGUAUAGUACAUGCACUUUAUUGCAUGAAACUGUGAAAUGACGAUCUUUCUAGGAUUGGAGUACAAAGAGAGCAAAGUUCUAGAGGAUGAUUAUGAUUAAGUACACUACACUAAAGAACAAAGAAACAACAAAACAACAGGAGAGUGUUGAAGGAGAUAAAUUAUGAACUUGUACAAUUGGUCUAAAUUAUGGAAUAUAGAAGAGACAAAGCUAACUAUCAAAAUUAUUCAAGGCACUAAUAUAGCUUGUGAAGAUCUUUCUAUCAACCAAAACCUCUUAACCUUUGGAAGCUAGAUCAGUAGGCUCUUAACCAAAGAAAGCUGAUCUAAACUGCAGGUUUGUCUUGUGGCUUUCAUCUAUCCUGAACCCAUACUACCAAAUAGGAUACAAGUAAAACUUCGUCCAACAAAAAGGUUGCAAUGCAAUGUUACUCUCAGCUGCUUACAGGACCAAUUCUAGCGAAAUACUGUAAUAUAUUGAACCUCAAUAUGAUAUACUGAGCUUUGGCCAAAAAAGGUCAAAGCACCGAUGGAAAGGGUACCAAUACUAUUUGGAUGUGUUUAGAUUGAUAAGAGAUAGCUUAGAAUUGAAUUUCUGCAAAAAUCAUAGCAAAAACAAAGAAAUGAGAAAAGGAGGACCGAAAUUACUAUUCAUAAUGUCAAACUGUAGAGUUUGAUAUUGAACCAGAGUCUGAGAAGUUCCGACAGGGAGUAACCUUCGGGUUCCAGAGUUUCAUUUAGGAACUCCGAAACUUCAAUAGCGGAAGGUUGUCCGAGCAUGGUGGCGGUUUUUAUGCAAAAUAGUGAGGCUUUUGAGGUUUAGUUGCAAUUGUUACACCCUGUUUAUAUAGAGGCCUUCUUUAGUGGAGAGAAAUCCUAACCCUGGGGCUCUCUCCGUUUCUCUUUGUAAGGUACCGAGUUUUGAAGUACUAUACUAAACUUGGGCAAUUGGAUAAGAUACAAUUGAGAAGCAAUUUAAAUAUGCUCAAAAAUGAGAUUUGAGGGUUUUGAAAUGAUUAGAAGUGGAUUAGAGGCUCAAGCAGCGAAAACAAGAAUUUUCAGAAAUUGCGUUUUUGAGCUAUGGGUUUCGGAACUUGACUGCACUGCGCAAAAAACAAGCUCCGGGUUUCGGAACCUGAACCCAUGUUCCGGAACCUGCUUGCACUAACAGCCCAGUUUGAGGGGUAUUUUGGAAAUUUUGAGAGGGCGGCUUAUAGGGGACCCUCGCCUCCUCCCUGUUCAAACACACACACACACACACACAUGCGUAGAGAGAGAGAGGGAACCGAGCUCUCCCUCUCCCUCAUGACCUCUCUAGAUCUCUCCCAAACUUGGAGUUUUGGUGGAGUUUGAGUUCGGGAACGCGCAGGGAACAGUGAAUCGAGCUCGUGCGCAAGUUAAGGCUUGGUGCACUCGUGAAUCCAAGGUGGGUUCUUCGGAUUAAACGUUAGGGUUUUUGCUAAAUCCUUUAAUAUUGGAAUUUUUGAGUUCCCUAGAUGAUUCUCUACUAGUUUAAUCAGUGAUUCUCCAUGAAUUUGGGGUAUUUUUGGAGAAAAAUUGAUCAUCUAGUUCUCUAAUUGAAGGUUAGAAAAGAGCCCCAGACAACUCUAAUUUGGAAAUCAGCGAGCGUUCAGUGAUCAAUUGCGAGUUACGAACUGAACCGGUGACAUUGGCCGCGGGAGUCCGAUUGCAUGUGUCUACAAGCAAUCGAAAACAUUGUCAGGUGGGUUGUACUUCACCAAAGUGAUUAGGUCACUUCCAUGCCAAAGAGUAAAGUACGGUAUUAUUGUUUAUGCAUGUAUAUAAUGGUAGGUUGUAUGUGAUAAAUAUGAAUAUAUGAAUCACGUGUUACUAGAUGGAAUUACCUACCAUUGGACAAGAACAAUAGGCAUGUGAAAACAUAUAGGAUGUAUAUAUAUGUAUGCCUAGGUUUGGAAAAUGAACAUAAGUUGAUGAACUCUAGAAAAAUUAGAGAAUUCGACAAGUAAAGAAUCAAGGACUAGAUGGCAUGAAAACUACGAAUCCUAAGUGUGGACAACUAGGAUAGAAAAGAAUAUGAUUGAACAUUGAACCUAAUGUCAUUGAACAUAGGUUGCAAAAUGUAGUGGUAGUAAGACCACUUGGAGUGGAAUGUCAUUGAACCUAGUGUCGUUGAACAUAGGUUGGAAAUGUAGUGGUAGGAUGGCCACUAGGACAUGAAUGACUUGAACCUAGAAAGGUUGACAAUAUAGGAUAUGUGACGAACCCUUGAGACUUGGAAAGUGGAUUCCGGAAUCCAGGAGUUGUGACCGUCGAAAGUUCUUGGCCGUUAGUGCAUGUGGCAUGUUUCUAUCCCACCACAAGAACUUCGAAGCUUGUGACUGUGAAAGAUUCUUGACCGCGGGUGCAUGUAGCAUAUUCCUCUCCUACUGGAGAAUUUUCGUGCGCUAGGGUGUAUGUGGCAUAUUCCUCUCCUUAUCGGGAAUUCCGGCUGUGGGUGUAUGUGGCAUGUUCCUUUCCCACCGGGGGAUUCAUGACCGCAGGUGUACGCAGCUUUUUCACCGCCCGUCGGACGCCUUGAUAUCGAAGGUGCUUGUGGUAUAUCCCUCACCCGUCGAGUGGAUCGAAGGCUAAAAUGCACGGCAUGUUCCUUUCCUCAGGCCUGGAAAUGAACGGUAAUCUGCUGGUAAUUGGCUCAAGACCAAGUAGGGUGGUAUAGCUUGGCUAAGGUAAAAGAACCUUAGAAGCAUAUUGGAUUAUGCAAUGGAUAGUGAAAUAGAAAGUAAAAGAACUCACCUACUUGCAUUGAUUUCAUUAUUGCAUUUAGUUGAGGCAUAAGCAUGGAUGUUUUAUUUCUUGCACUUAGUUGAUUUAUAUGUUUAUAAAUAGCACUAACCUGCUUAUGUUGCUUCAUUUGGACCUGGUGAGUCGAGCUCUUCCCUUAGGUGGCCGUACCCACUGGGAACUAUAUUUAUAGUUCUCACCCCUAUGUUUUUCAGGUCCACACGUGAGCGGCGCGGCCGGGCGACGCGAGGAAAGGGUGUAGCUCAAUAAAUAGUGCCCUACUACUUGUGACAAGAGAUAGAUGUACCCUGGGUUGGUAGCUUAGGGGUAUUAAAAGAAAAAAAAUAAAAUUGUAAUAAAGUUGAUUGUGUUUGAAUGAAAAAGAAUGUAAAUGUAACGUGAAUGUCAUAAAUGCUUGUAAUAGCGUAGUGGUUUUAUGUUUUGAUGUCUUCCUUAUGCAAUCUAUGUAUGAAUUAUGUACUUGGUUGGAACCUCUUAAAUUGUACUGAUUGUGACGCCUUCGACGGACAGAGAAAACUCUGUCCGUUCGGCGGUCUGUGCGCUUGCCCGAACCGACCAAAAUGGCGGUCCCAGGGCGUGACACUCUUGCUUCUCUCUCUCUCACUCCUCCCUCUAGUAUCGAAGGAAUCGAAGCAUAUUUUCACUCCUUUACCACGUAGAAUUGAGAUCGGGCUUCGAAGGAAGAAAACAACUACCUCGACCAGGCUAGCUUCUCCUUGGAGGGGGGAAGCUCUAGAUUUCAGUGAGUAGCACUCAAACCUUGAUUCUUUUCGAGUAAUUGCCGUUGAUUCCGAGCUUCGAGGGUUUCAAGUAGUUUUGGCAUUUCGAUGUUACCUUAGGCUUGAUUUCAGCGAAAAGUUGGAAAACCUAGGGUUUUCUAGAUUGUUAUGGAUAAAUCCCCCAUAUUAGUGGGUAAUAGAGCUAGUAUGGAAUCCCCCAGUCAAUUUCACUGCAAAAUCAAUGUUUUUAGCAAAAAUGCAUGUUUCGUAGGAACAAGUUAAGGGUUCGAGUUUUGUGGGUGUUCCUUGCCUCAAGCUACUAGAGACUGAUUCGAGUCAAAUUGACAUGGCAUUUCCAUAGAUUUCCCAGAAUCAUACCUAGUAGUAGAAAUGAUCAUGAAUGGAACUCUAGAGAAGCUAUUGAUUUUCUUCUGUUCUCCUUAGGACCAAGAGAAGGUUGAGGAGCUAACGACUCGUCCAAAAUGGUCCAACUUUGUCGUGGUUUGCCCAUUCCUAUCCUUUCUUCUUGUUUAUCACUAAAAUAGUCGUAGUACAAGUUGUAUAUACUUGUAUAAGGAUAGGAUGAGUUGUUGUAUUCCAGUAGUAAACUAGCAUGCUUAGUGUGGACUUCUAUGCAUAGGGACAUCUAUGAUUUGCUAUCAUUAUGAUUACACCUUGAUCUCCCUGUAAGGACACUUGACAUAUGUAACCUCAAGAUUUAAACUCUCCUUGUAGCGCCAAUUGCUAUUGAGAACAAAGAUUUAAACCCGCCCUAUAGGGGCACCCAUGAUUCACAUUAGAAACAUGCUGUUGUCACAUUGAUGUUGACAUAUGUAUUCGUAGUAGCAUAUACGUCCUUGGUAGCCUUAUAGAAGCAGUUGAUAUUCGUGGUUCUCAGAACAUGGUGUAUGUGAUCUCACUUUCCUUCUUGCUUUCGAAUAACCCUCGAGAAUCUUGUGAAAUGGAUAUAAAAAGCAUCAUUCUUCAUUGCAUUGUACUUUGCCUAGCAUGCUUAAUCUUUGGGCAUUCCCACACACUUGUAUUGACGAUCCAUGCCUUUUGGAUCCCGAUAACCUUGAUUGGACAUAGAAGCAUGCGAGUUGACACUAAAAGUACCGUCAAGAAGGUGGCACGAUACAGGGAGGUCUCGGACCUCCCUCCGUGCCGCGUGCCGUGCCGCACAAGACAGCGUCACGGCGUAGCGUGCACUGUGCUUUUUUUUUUUCUUUUUUUUUCUUUUUAUGUUUUUCUUGUUUUGUUUUUUGGGAUAUCCAAAGCAUUCUGAAUCAAGGUUUUAAGUGCCCGUCUGCACAGGCCGUAUCUACCAUGUCGUAUCGUGCCAACAAGAUACCAGCACGAUACAGACCCCAUGCCGAUGGCACAGCUCAAAACCCUCUAUUCUUUAAAUUAGUAAGUAAUUUUCUCAAUAAAGUUCAAAAGAUGUGAUAAAAAGAUAUAAUAAAUAGUUAUAAUAUUUUGUUGCUAAAGAAAAUAAAUAUUUCAUGCUAUUAUGUGUCGGCACAUAAAAAUUUUUUUGACAAGCACGCAUCGGCGCAGCUUGGCACGCACUGUGUCGUACCGUGCCGGCAAGUUUCCAACACGACCCCGUGCCACGGCACUUAAAUCCUUGUUCUGAAUACUCCAAGCUCCCACCCAAAGACAUUGCAAAUAGAAAAUUUACUUAUUAGGUAAGUUAAAAAAAUUAUAAUUUUUUUUUUUUGUUUACCAAUAUACAGACAAGAUUUGUCCAAGCCCCCUUCCGCUUCCACCACAGAUAUCUACUUUUUCUUCACAAAUUAUUUUAUCAAAAUUUGUCACACCGCGAAAUUUUUGGCGAAUUAAGGGAAUAAAAUCGAACUCAAUAAACAAAUUUUGAGUCACAUCAAAUAUAAAAUUUUAUUUUUGCACUAGAAGAUUGAAAAUACUAAUAAAAUUAAAAGCUAAAUUAAAUCAAUUGAUACUUAAAUUUAUUUAAUUUUUGUCAUAUAAUAUAUUGCUUAAUUUUUUUGAUAGAUCUACUAAUUUUUUGAAAAAAUUAAUUAAAAUUUUUUUUUUUCAAAUACU